UUUGCCCUUUAAUUUUUGGCAUUUUAUCAAUUGCCCAAACGUGUGGGGCAAAAGGGUCUUUUCGUCGUGAGGACCACACGUGGAUUACAUGCUGCCACGUAACCAGAUUAGGUUUCCCUAUCUCUUCCUUACACAACGUCACAACCCACGCGCUCAUACAUACGGCAGCUUCGACGAGAGAGAGAGAGAGAGAGGAGGAGGAGGAGGAGGAACGAUCGCCGACCACCACCGAGCCACCCACUGCUAGCGACGACCACCACCGCUCCCAGUAGCGCCCACCACUUUAAUUUUGCCCAUUUUACGGAUUGCCCAGGGUAUUGCGUGUUGUGCUCAUCUCCAUUCACAAUACCUCUCUCUCGCCUCCCUCUCUGUUCUCUCUCUGUUCACUUGCUCUCUGGCCCUCCGAUCCAGCGCCACUGCAUCGCACCACCACACUGCCUCUCUACUCCGUUAACGGCAUCGCCAUCGGAAUUUUUUUGAGCUGCUGAGGAGAGGAACUGCCGAGGGUCGUGAUUCUGCAAUCAAAUGCUUGCGGACAGCGGUGGCGCCUUGUGCCCUCGAUGCCUAUCCGG